rnacentral:rRNA from 1 species
CCUACGGGAGGCAGCAGUGAGGAAUAUUGGUCAAUGGACGAGAGUCUGAACCAGCCAAGUAGCGUGAAGGAUGACUGCCCUAUGGGUUGUAAACUUCUUUUAUAAGGGAAUAAAACGAGGCACGUGUGCCUUUUUGCAUGUACUUUAUGAAUAAGGAUCGGCUAACUCCGUGCCAGCAGCCGCGGUAAUACGGAGGAUCCGAGCGUUAUCCGGAUUUAUUGGGUUUAAAGGGAGCGUAGAUGGGUUGUUAAGUCAGUUGUGAAAGUUUGCGGCUCAACCGUAAAAUUGCAAUUGAUACUGGCAGUCUUGAGUACAGUUGAGGUAGGCGGAAUUCGUGGUGUAGCGGGGAAAUGCUUAGAUAUCACGAAGAACCCCGAUUGCGAAGGCAGCCUACUAAACUGUGACUGACAUUGAUGCUCGAAAGUGUGGGUAUCAAACAGGAUUAGAUACCCUUGUAGUC